UGAAACACACAAUCUGUCUUGGUACCUCAAAGUACCAUCAUCUCCCCCUUAUUCAAAGGCCAUCGUCUUAUACUUGCAGAUCCGUCUCUUUUUGUUGGGAUCCAAAUAACUUUCCUUAUUUUCUGCAAUUCUUUGCACUCUACAUCAAUAACGACUCAAUUUCCAACAUACUUCUGAGUUAGGAAAAACUAAAUUAUUCACAUAACAGAAAGCUAAUGUAUUCA
rnacentral:lncRNA from 1 species